UACGUAGGGGGCUAGCGUUGUCCGGAAUCAUUGGGCGUAAAGAGCGCGCAGGCGGCUGGGCAAGUCCGAUGUGAAAGCUUCCGGCUUAACUGGAAAAUUGCAUCGGAAACUGCUCGGCUUGAAGGUGGGAGAGGGUAGCGGAAUUCCCGGUGUAGUGGUGAAAUGCGUAGAUAUCGGGAGGAACACCAGUGGCGAAGGCGGCUUCCUGGCCCACUCUUGACGCUGAGGCGCGAAAGCUAGGGGAGCAAACGGG
rnacentral:rRNA from 1 species